rnacentral:rRNA from 1 species
AACGAACGCUGGCGGCAGGCCUAACACAUGCAAGUCGAACGAGUGGCGGACGGGUGAGUAAUGUCGGGGAAACUGCCUGAUGGAGGGGGAUAACUACUGGAAACGGUAGCAAAUACCGCAUACCAUCAGAUGUGGCCAGAGGGGAUUAGCUUGCUGGUGGGGUAACGCCUCACCAAGGCGACGAUCCCUAGCUGGUCUGAGAGGAUGACCGGCCACACUGGAACUGAGACACGGUCCAGACUCCUACGGGAGGAACCAGUGGGGAAUAUUGCACAAUGGGCGCAAGCCUGAUGCAGCAAUGCCGCGUGUAGGAAGAAGGCCUUCGGUUUGUAAAGUCCUUUCAGCGGGGAGGCGUUACCCACAGAAGAAGCACCGGCUAACUCCGUGCCAGCAGCCGCGGUAAUAC